UACGUAGGGUGCGAGCGUUAAUCGGAAUUACUGGGCGUAAAGCGUGCGCAGGCGGUUAUGCAAGACAGAUGUGAAAUCCCCGGGCUCAACCUGGGAACUGCAUUUGUGACUACAUAACUAGAGUGUGGCAGAGGGAGAUGGAAUUCCGCGUGUAGCAGUGAAAUGCGUAGAUAUGCGGAGGAACACCAAUGGCGAAGGCAAUCUCCUGGGCCUGCACUGACGCUCAUGCACGAAAGCGUGGGGAGCAAACAGG
rnacentral:rRNA from 1 species